ACGGAGAAUUGCUAGCUUGCUAAUAAUUCUCUAGUGGCGCACGGGUGAGUAACACGUGAGUACCUGCCCCCAAGAGUGGGAUAGCCCCGGGAAACUGGGAUUAAUACCGCAUAAAGCAAUAAAGCAGCAAUGCGCUUGGGGAUGGGCUCGCGUCCUAUUAGUUAGUUGGUGAGGUAACGGCUCACCAAGGCGAUGACGGGUAGCCGGUCUGAGAGGAUGUCCGGCCACACUGGAACUGAGACACGGUCCAGACACCUACGGGUGGCAGCAGUCGAGAAUCAUUCACAAUGGGGGAAACCCUGAUGGUGCGACGCCGCGUGGGGGAUAAGGUCUUCGGAUUGUAAACCCCUGUCAUGUGGGACAUUAAAAGAUAGUACCACAAGAGGAAGAGACGGCUAACUCUGUGCCAGCAGCCGCGGUAAUACAGAGGUCUCAAGCGUUGUUCGGAAUCACUGGGCGUAAAGCGUGCGUAGGCGGUUUCGUAAGUCGUGUGUGAAAGGCGGGGGCUCAACCCCCGGACUGCACAUGAUACUGCGAGACUAGAGUAAUGGAGGGGGAACCGGAAUUCUCGGUGUAGCAGUGAAAUGCGUAGAUAUCGAGAGGAACACUCGUGGCGAAGGCGGGUUCCUGGACAUUAACUGACGCUGAGGCACGAAGGCCAGGGGAGCGAAAGGGAUUAGAUACCCCUGUAG
rnacentral:rRNA from 1 species